GCAGUCGAGCGGGGAAGGUAGCUUGCUACCUGACCUAGCGGCGGACGGGUGAGUAAUGCUUAGGAAUCUGCCUAUUAGUGGGGGACAACAUUCCGAAAGGAAUGCUAAUACCGCAUACGCCCUACGGGGGAAAGCAGGGGAUCUUCGGACCUUGCGCUAAUAGAUGAGCCUAAGUCAGAUUAGCUAGUUGGUGGGGUAAAGGCCUACCAAGGCGACGAUCUGUAGCGGGUCUGAGAGGAUGAUCCGCCACACUGGGACUGAGACACGGCCCAGACUCCUACGGGAGGCAGCAGUGGGGAAUAUUGGACAAUGGGCGAAAGCCUGAUCCAGCCAUGCCGCGUGUGUGAAGAAGGCCUUUUGGUUGUAAAGCACUUUAAGCGAGGAGGAGGCUACUUGGAUUAAUACUCUAGGAUAGUGGACGUUACUCGCAGAAUAAGCACCGGCUAACUCUGUGCCAGCAGCCGCGGUAAUACAGAGGGUGCGAGCGUUAAUCGGAUUUACUGGGCGUAAAGCGUGCGUAGGCGGCUUUUUAAGUCGGAUGUGAAAUCCCUGAGCUUAACUUAGGAAUUGCAUUCGAUACUGGGAAGCUAGAGUAUGGGAGAGGAUGGUAGAAUUCCAGGUGUAGCGGUGAAAUGCGUAGAGAUCUGGAGGAAUACCGAUGGCGAAGGCAGCCAUCUGGCCUAAUACUGACGCUGAGGUACGAAAGCAUGGGGAGCAAACAGGAUUAGAUACCCUGGUAGUCCAUGCCGUANACGAUGUCUACUAGCCGUUGGGGCCUUUGAGGCUUUAGUGGCGCAGCUAACGCGAUAAGUAGACCGCCUGGGGAGUACGGUCGCAAGACUAAAACUCAAAUGAAUUGACGGGGGCCCGCACAAGCGGUGGAGCAUGUGGUUUAAUUCGAUGCAACGCGAAGAACCUUACCUGGUCUUGACAUAGUAAGAACUUUCCAGAGAUGGAUUGGUGCCUUCGGGAACUUACAUACAGGUGCUGCAUGGCUGUCGUCAGCUCGUGUCGUGAGAUGUUGGGUUAAGUCCCGCAACGAGCGCAACCCUUUUCCUUAUUUGCCAGCGGGUUAAGCCGGGAACUUUAAGGAUACUGCCAGUGACAAACUGGAGGAAGGCGGGGACGACGUCAAGUCAUCAUGGCCCUUACGACCAGGGCUACACACGUGCUACAAUGGUCGGUACAAAGGGUUGCUACCUAGCGAUAGGAUGCUAAUCUCAAAAAGCCGAUCGUAGUCCGGAUUGGAGUCUGCAACUCGACUCCAUGAAGUCGGAAUCGCUGUAAUCGCGGAUC
rnacentral:rRNA from 1 species